AUGGUGCUCACUCAUACACACUAAACUUGAACAGUAAAAGAGGAUUGCAUGGCCCUGCACAAAGAGGACAUGCAAAUUUGUAAAAUGUUCCAUUUUUCU
rnacentral:snRNA from 14 species